CCUACGGGGGGCAGCAGUGGGGAAUAUUGCACAAUGGGGGGAACCCUGAUGCAGCGACGCCGCGUGAGUGAAGAAGUAUUUCGGUACGUAAAGCUCUAUCAGCAGGGAAGAAAAAAGGACGGUACCUGAGUAAGAAGCCCCGGCUAACUACGUGCCAGCAGCCGCGGUAAUACGUAGGGAGCGAGCGUUGUCCGGAAUUACUGGGUGUAAAGGGAGCGUAGGCGGGACUGCAAGUUGGGUGUCAAAUCUACCGGCUCAACCGGUAGCCGCACUCAAAACUGCAGUUCUUGAGUGAAGUAGAGGCA
rnacentral:rRNA from 1 species